CGGCGCCUUCGACAUAGAAAGCCUUAGCUCUGACCAGGUCGCGGCCUACGUCAUCACUGGUCAGAGGCCAAGGUUAUGCGUCACUGAUUGAUGCGUGUGUACCUAACCACUCAGUCCACUGUGUUGCUGUGUAGUUUACAUAGACAGAAAGAUUUCUUUUGAAACAAAUAGAAUCUUCAUCUAAAUAUGAUUUAGACUUUUCAAAAUAGUCAUCAUGGAUUAAAACUCUAGAUCUACAAUGGUGAACAAAUGUCUCGUUUUGUAAAGGAUCUAGAUCUAGAUCUAGCACUACUAUCAGAUAUGCUUUCCGAUUACCAAAAGAUGAUGAAUGGUGGCUUAGAAAGAAAAAAUGGCCAGCGGUAAUACCUUUGGCUUAGAGUAGAAGGAUUAGAUCUACGUACCAUUAAAGGAGUACUCUAAAAUCUGCCAUUAACAUUUUCAAGACGAAGUAUCAUGGACAGUAUUGAAGGAUUACGUACUAUAAAGGAAUACUCUAAAAUCUGCCGUUAACAUUUUGAAGACGAAGUAUUGUGGACUAGCUACUACACAUGAAAGAGUAGAGAGUGCAUUAAAAAAAGUGUUAAGUCUCAGGAAGUCGCAGGAUGGCUACCUGGUCUUGUGGUUUGCGCGCUGGACUGUCGUUUGGAUUUAUCGAUGUCUCUGGUUCAAACCCUGUCCGCUCCCAUCCCCUGUCGUCAACUCUGAAGGAACAUCAGAAACAUGUCAAACAUAUAAGGAUAUAAUAGUAAAAAAAAAACAUAUCAGUGAUUUCAGUGAAUUUCAAGAUAGUGUAAGAAAUAUAAAUGUGUCUUCGUUUUGGAUGUUCUUUGUCAAGAGGAGUGUAUGAUUUAUGUACAUUGUAAAGAUUCUGGUCCAGUUAAGGUAGUAUAUAUAUAUUCUAUUGUUCUUGGUACAUCUCUUUGAUGUUUUUUUUUUAAACAAACAGAAGUAUUUGGUAAAGGUGAUAAGCUACUUCUUAAAACUGUAUCCUACAUUUAUGAAAUUACUAAUUUGUUAGAACUCAUAGAACAAUAUUCUACAAAAAAUAACAUCAUAAAGGUUCUCUGCAAGUCUAACUGUUAGAUGUUAUAUUAUGGGUAAUUAUCUUGUUUUUUGAAGUAACUUGUGUAAUCUAUAAGAUAAGAUAUGUUGCUGGUUAUUGUGUUCAUGUGGUUCUAAAGAAAUUUAAUGACUGCAUGACUGGGGAUGGGAGCGGCAAGGGUUUGAACUUGGGACCAUCAAUAAAUCUAAGCGACAGUCCAGAGCGCAAGCCGCUCCACCAGGCAGCCAUCCAUAUAUAUAUAAUAUAUAAUUUAAAUAACAUUAACAUUAUAUGAGCAAACCGCUUGAACAGGCAGCCAUCCAUAUAUUUAAAUCACAUUAACAUUAUAUGUAAUCAUUGUAUUUUUAAAAUGUGUAUUGUAAAUUAUUGAAAUUUUUUUUUUCCAUAUUAAGCAAUUGCAAUAAAAACUUAACUCAUUAAAGUGGUAUCCUUUGUCUGCAAAUAAAAUUGCUAUAUAACACCACACAUUUGUUUUCAUGUUGUGUUAUUUCUGUUGUGAUGCUUGUUAUCAUUAGUGUGUACAUUAAGUUGUAAAGCAACUGAUCAAUUUUAGAUUCUAAU